UACGUAGGGGGCUAGCGUUGUCCGGAAUCAUUGGGCGUAAAGCGCGCGUAGGCGGCCAGAUAAGUCCGGUGUGAAAGUCACAGGCUCAACCUGUGAAUGCCGCUGGAAACUGUCUGGCUUGAGUCCGGAAGGGGCGAGUGGAAUUCCUGGUGUAGCGGUGAAAUGCGCAGAUAUCAGGAGGAACACCGAUAGCGAAGGCAGGUCUCUGGGCCACUACUGACGCUGAGAAGCGAAAGCAUGGGGAGCGAACAGG
rnacentral:rRNA from 1 species